UCGGGAAUUUUGGGCAAUGGGGGAAGCCCUGACCCAGCAACGCCGCGUGAAGGAUGAAGUAUUUCGGUAUGUAAACUUCGAAAGAAUAGGAAGAAUAAAUGACGGUACUAUUUAUAAGGUCCGGCUAACUACGUGCCAGCAGCCGCGGUAAUACGUAGGGACCAAGCGUUGUUCGGAUUUACUGGGCGUAAAGGGCGCGUAGGCGGCAAUUCAAGUCAUCUGUGAAAUCUCCGGGCUUAACUCGGAACGGUCAGAUGAUACUGCUUUGCUAGAGUGCAGAAGGGGCAAUCGGAAUUCUUGGUGUAGCGGUGAAAUGCGUAGAUAUCAAGAGGAACACCUGAGGUGAAGACGGGUUGCUGGGCUGACACUGACGCUGAGGCGCGAAAGCCAGGGGGAGCAAACGGGAUUAGAUACCCACGUAGUCCCUGAGCGGGCUGGCAAGGCGCAU
rnacentral:rRNA from 1 species